GAAAGAGAAAGAAAAUAGCAAAGAGGGAGAUGAUUAGGACUGAUAUAAUGCAGAUUCCUCUUUCUUGGUAGUCUUUAAACUCCAUGACCAAGCUAACUUCCAACAAAGAAGAAGAUGGCUUAUUUAAUAUUUAUAUUUCUCUUGUAUUAAUCUAUCAUCAGUACUAAUUUAUUUUGUACACAUUUAUUAAUUAGUAUGUCUAUUUCUAUUGAGAUUAGAUUUGUGGAGAGAAGCACAGGUGCUUUUUAAAAUUUGAUUUGUCCUAUAGAUUCAUUUUAUUUGCUCUUAGAUGAAAAUGAUGUGCCCUUACAGAAAGAAAAGAACCAUGUUGAUAGAUGGUUCCCCUAUCUAGACAGUGAAGGAUAUAGUUAAAUAGGUAGAGACUUUCCUUAUAAUCAUCAGUGCCUUGUUAUAAUUAGAUUGUGAAGAAUGCCAUUUAGCUAAAAUGCAUAGGAUCAGCGUCAAGGUAUCAGGGAUUUAGAACCAAGUUCCUAAGAGAUCAUCCAUCAGUAAAAUAGUUCUGUCUUCUCUCCAUCAUUCACUGAGGUUGAGGAAAUGAGGCAAGUUCCAUGAUGAACAAUUUUGGGAGAGGCACAUGUGUUCAGGAAGUAAUGAAAAGGUCUCCUCUUCUUUCAAGAUGUAAGAAACAGGCCUUGAGUUUUUUGAAGACUGAGCCCUCCCUGCUCUGGAGGAGACCAGUGAUUCUGCAAACCUCGUUGCUGACGAUUUUGAUACCUUCUUUUUAAAAAAGAUGACGUUUUGAACUAAUUAUAGAUUCACAUUGCAAAGC
rnacentral:lncRNA from 1 species